rnacentral:rRNA from 1 species
GCUCCAAUAGCGUAUAUUAAAGUUGUUGCAGUUAAAAAGCUCGUAGUUGGAUUUCUGACGUCUUUUUUCAUCCAUCUUGUCGGCCAAGAGUCGAUGUUGGGUUUGAUUGGAUGUCAUCUUUCUCUGUUAAUUUGCAGUGUCUUUCUUGAUUGAAAGGUGUUGCAAAUGGAGAUCAUUUACUGUGAAAAAAUUAGAGUGUU